AGCUUUGAUAGGGGUGCGGUGAUUAGAUGUUAAUUGGAGUCACGCGGGGGUAUAAAGGGUAACUAGAGAACCAACGCAAGCUUCUUGUCCCGGCUCUAGGUUUGCAGACCUGUUUGCUGCUGUUCUGGACAUCUUCAGACUCGGCGGACUCCGUCCCAAGGACAACGAUUCUCAUUAUCCCUCGACACAUGGGAGUGGUGCUUUAACAAUCGAGUGGAGUGAAUGCGGUGUAUGGAGUGCAGCUUAACUGGGAAUGCUUAGAAAGCACAAGAUCAACGCAGACAAAGCGGCGGCUGCAGGGGCUGCUGCUACAGACGUCUGAGACGCAGCCUUCGGUCGCUCCUUCCCGGCUUAUAACGGAC